UACGUAGGGUGCAAGCGUUAUCCGGAAUUAUUGGGCGUAAAGAGCUCGUAGGCGGUUUGUCGCGUCUGCUGUGAAAACCCGAGGCUCAACCUCGGGCCUGCAGUGGGUACGGGCAGACUAGAGUGCGGUAGGGGAGAUUGGAAUUCCUGGUGUAGCGGUGGAAUGCGCAGAUAUCAGGAGGAACACCGAUGGCGAAGGCAGAUCUUUGGGCCGUAACUGACGCUGAGGAGCGAAAGCGUGGGGAGCGAACAGG
rnacentral:rRNA from 1 species